CUAUCACUUUGGGAUGGACCUGCGGUGCAUUAGCUUGUUGGUAGGGUAACGGCCUACCAAGGCGAUGAUGCAUAGCCGAGUUGAGAGACUGAUCGGCCACAAUGGAACUGAGACACGGUCCAUACUCCUACGGGAGGCAGCAGUAGGGAAUCUUCCACAAUGGGCGCAAGCCUGAUGGAGCAACACCGCGUGAGUGAAGAAGGGUUUCGGCUCGUAAAGCUCUGUUGUUAGAGAAGAACGUGUAUGAGAGUAACUGUUCAUGCAGUGACGGUAUUUAACCAGAAAGUCACGGCUAACUACGUGCCAGCAGCCGCGGUAAUACGUAGGUGGCAAGCGUUAUCCGGAUUUAUUGGGCGUAAAGAGAGCGCAGGCGGUUUGAUAAGUCUGAUGUGAAAGCCUUYGGCUUAACCRAAGAAGUGCAUCGGAAACUGUCWRACUUGAGUGCAGAAGAGGACAGUGGAACUCCAUGUGUAGCGGUGGAAUGCGUAGAUAUAUGGAAGAACACCAGUGGCGAAGGCGGCUGCCUGGUCUGCAACUGACGCUGAGGCUCGAAAGCAUGGGUAGCGAACAGGAUUAGAUACCCUGGUAGUCCAUGCCGUAAACGAUGAGUGCUAGGUGUUGGAGGGUUUCCGCCCUUCAGUGCCGCAGCUAACGCAUUAAGCACUCCGCCUGGGGAGUACGACCGCAAGGUUGAAACUCAAAGGAAUUGACGGGGGCCCGCACAAGCGGUGGAGCAUGUGGUUUAAUUCGAAGCUACGCGAAGAACCUUACCAGGUCUUGACAUCUUGCGCCAACCCUAGAGAUAGGGCGUUUCCUUCGGGAACGCAAUGACAGGUGGUGCAUGGUCGUCGUCAGCUCGUGUCGUGAGAUGUUGGGUUAAGUCCCGCAACGAGCGCAACCCUUGUUACUAGUUGCCAGCAUUAAGUUGGGCACUCUAGUGAGACUGCCGGUGACAAACCGGAGGAAGGUGGGGACGACGUCAGAUCAUCAUGCCCCUUAUGACCUGGGCUACACACGUGCUACAAUGGACGGUACAACGAGUCGCGAACUCGCGAGGGCAAGCUAAUCUCUUAAAACCGUUCUCAGUUCGGACUGCAGGCUGCAACUCGCCUGCACGAAGUCGGAAUCGCUAGUAAUCGCGGAUCA
rnacentral:rRNA from 2 species